rnacentral:misc_RNA from 1 species
GAUCAUAUAUUUACAACCGGGAUUGAUUUGGAAGCAACGACUCACUUUUCAGUAUUUAAAAAUGUCAUUCUUAUUAGAUUCGUGCCUAAUGUUCUUUUCGCAGGUUCUCUUUUUUGCUGGUGGAUGGGUAUUUUUUCUGAAACAACUUUUUAAAGACUAUGAGGUCCAUCACUCUGUUGUUCUUCUGGUCUUUUCUAUUACAUUUGCAUUGUCAUGUACUAUGUUUGAACUGAUCAUCUUUGAAAUACUUGGAUUCCUUGAAUCUAGCUCAAGAUACUUUCAUUGGAAAUUGGGAUUGUAUGCCUUUCUUUUUGUAUUGGUUGCAAUCCUUCCAUUUUACAUUGGUUACUUCAUCAUUGGAAACUUGAGAUUUGCUCCUCAAAAACGACACAUUCGUGUUUUAAUGACAACUGGGGCAUGGCUGGCAUUUCUUUACUUUUUCUGGAAGAUUGGUGACCCAUUUCCAAUUUUGAGUCCUAAGCAUGGAAUCUUCUCAAUUGAGCAAUGUAUUGGAAGGAUUGGGGUCAUUGGGGUCACAUUAAUGGCUGUGCUUUCUGGGUUUGGAGCUGUAAACUACCCGUAUACCUCCAUGUUUUACUUUAUCAGAGCAGUAACUGAAACAGAUGUACAGAAUAUAGAAAAGAGAUUGAUGCAAACUAUGGAUAUGAUUCUGAUGAAGAAGAAAAGAAUAGCACUAGCUAGGCAAGAACGACUGAAGCAGGCAACCAUUAACAAAAGUCAAGGUGGAUUGUGGGGAAUGAUAUCUAAAGUCACCUCGGGCAGUGGAUCAUCAGAGAAUAUGUCAAUGUUGAAGCAAGAAACUGAAGCCUAUGAAGAGCUAGCAAAACAAUUGUUUUUGGAGUCUGUAGAUCUCCAUAAUGCACAGGAAAGAAUAGCUUAUUCGAAGACAUUCAAAGGGAAAUAUUUCAACUUUUUGGGUUAUUUCUUCUCCAUUUAUUGUGUGUGGAAAAUACUUAUUUCAACGAUAAACAUAAUUUUUGAUCGUGUUGGUAAAGUUGACCCUGUUACAAGAGGAAUAGAAAUAGCUGUCAACUACAUUGGAAUUCAAUUUGAUGUAAAAUUCUGGUCACAGCAAAUCUCCUUCCUUUUAAUUGGAAUCAUCAUUGUGACUUCUAUUAGAGGAUUACUAAUAACAUUGACAAGGUUCUUUUAUGCAAUAGCUAGUAGCAAGUCUUCAAAUGUGAUAGUCCUUUGUUUGGCCCAACUUAUGGUCAAUUAUCACAGAAGUACUUGGAGACCUGCAAUUUAAUUUCUACCAUCGAUGGUUUGAUGUCAUAUUUCUUGUGAGUGCUUUGUCAAGCAUCGGAUUUCUUUAUAUUGCACACAAGCAAGCUCCUGAGAAGAAUGGUUAUUGAUAUUUUCAUGUGUCAUUGCAUCAAUAAAUAUCAAGUUU